CACUACCUGCCGGAUCGGUGGGUAGUGAUUGAUCUAUCGGGGAUUGAUUUAUCGUGUCGAUCCCCGAUGGCUCUGCUGUCGACUCCAGAACCCCACCAUGGCGAGAGGUGGAAGUGGAGUCGAUGGGGGAGCGGCAGCAGUUGAUCCCAUGCCAGGAGG